rnacentral:tRNA from 1 species
GGAGAGUUGGCAGAGUGGCUGAAUGCGGCGGUCUUGAAAACCGUUAGGCCUGAAAAGGUCUCGGGGGUUCAAAUCCCUCACUCUCCG